rfam:Agrilus planipennis Contig59265, whole genome shotgun sequence.
CCUCUCGUAGCUUAGUGCUCAAAGCAUUGGUGUGUAGUUAAAGGUCCCUGGUUCGAUUCCCGGCGAGGGUG